GUGCCAGCAGCCGCGGUAAGACAGAGGGUGCAAACGUUGUUCGGAAUUACUGGGCGUAAAGCGCGUGUAGGCUGCUUGGAAAGUCGGAUGUGAAAGCCCUGGGCUCAACCCAGGAAGUGCAUUCGAAACUCCCGAGCUCGAGUACCGGAGAGGAAGGCGGAAUUCUCGGUGUAGAGGUGAAAUUCGUAGAUAUCGAGAGGAACACCUGUAGCGAAGGCGGCCUUCUGGACGGUUACUGACGCUGAGACGCGAAAGCGUGGGGAGCAAACAGGAUUAGAAACCCCGGUAGUCC
rnacentral:rRNA from 1 species